UGGGGAAUAUUGGACAAUGGGCGCAAGCCUGAUCCAGCCAUGCCGCGUGAGUGAUGAAGGCCCUAGGGUUGUAAAGCUCUUUCACCGGUGAAGAUAAUGACGGUAACCGGAGAAGAAGCCCCGGCUAACUUCGUGCCAGCAGCCGCGGUAAUACGAAGGGGGCUAGCGUUGUUCGGAUUUACUGGGCGUAAAGCGCACGUAGGCGGACUUUUAAGUCAGGGGUGAAAUCCCGGGGCUCAACCCCGGAACUGCCUUUGAUACUGGAAGUCUUGAGUAUGGUAGAGGUGAGUGGAAUUCCGAGUGUAGAGGUGAAUNNGUAUGAUGAUUCGGAAGGAACACCAGUGGCAGAAGGCGCUCACUGGACCAUUACUGACGCUGAGGUGCGAAAGCGUGGGAGCAAACAGGAUUAGAUACCCUGUAGUCCACGCCGUAAACGAUGAAUGUUAGCCGUU
rnacentral:rRNA from 1 species